GGUAUGGUGGCCAAGUGGUAAAGUGUUGGUCUUGGAAACCAAUGAUCAUGCAUUCAAUCCCCAUCUAUGUUU